rnacentral:rRNA from 1 species
GACGAACGCUGGCGGCGUGCUUAACACAUGCAAGUCGAACGGAAAGGCCCUGCUUUUGUGGGGUGCUCGAGUGGCGAACGGGUGAGUAACACGUGAGUAACCUGCCCUUGACUUUGGGAUAACUUCAGGAAACUGGGGCUAAUACCGGAUAGGAGCUCCUGCUGCAUGGUGGGGGUUGGAAAGUUUCGGCGGUUGGGGAUGGACUCGCGGCUUAUCAGCUUGUUGGUGGGGUGGUGGCUUACCAAGGCUUUGACGGGUAGCCGGCCUGAGAGGGUGACCGGCCACAUUGGGACUGAGAUACGGCCCAGACUCCUACGGGAGGCAGCAGUGGGGAAUAUUGCACAAUGGGCGGAAGCCUGAUGCAGCAACGCCGCGUGCGGGAUGACGGCCUUCGGGUUGUAAACCGCUUUCGCCUGUGACGAAGCGUGAGUGACGGUAAUGGGUAAAGAAACACCGGCGAACUACGU